rnacentral:rRNA from 1 species
UACGGAGGGUGCGAGCGUUAAUCGGAAUUACUGGGCGUAAAGCGCAUGCAGGCGGCCUGUUAAGUCAGAUGUGAAAGCCCGGGGCGUUAACCUCGGAAUUGCAUUUGUAAACUGGCAGGCUAGAGUCUUGUAGAGGGGGGUAGGAAUUUCAGGUGUAGCGGUGAAAUGCGUAGAGAUCUGAAGGAAUACCAGUGGCGAAGGCGGCCCCCUCGGACAAAGACUGACGCUCAGAUGCGAAAGCGUGGGGAGCAAACAGGAUUAGAUACCCUGGUAG